rfam:Schistosoma rodhaini strain Burundi genome assembly, scaffold: SROB_scaffold0001271
AUCCAACUGACGAGUCCCAAAUAGGACAAAACAUUAGUCCUGGAU